GACGAACGCUGGCGGCGUGCCUAAUACAUGCAAGUAGAACGCUGAAGGAGGAGCUUGCUUCUCUGGAUGAGUUGCGAACGGGUGAGUAACGCGUAGGUAACCUGCCUGGUAGCGGGGGAUAACUAUUGGAAACGAUAGCUAAUACCGCAUAACAGUAGAUGUUGCAUGACAUUUGCUUAAAAGGUGCAAUUGCAUCACUACCAGAUGGACCUGCGUUGUAUUAGCUAGUUGGUGGGGUAACGGCUCACCAAGGCGACGAUACAUAGCCGACCUGAGAGGGUGAUCGGCCACACUGGGACUGAGACACGGCCCAGACUCCUACGGGAGGCAGCAGUAGGGAAUCUUCGGCAAUGGACGGAAGUCUGACCGAGCAACGCCGCGUGAGUGAAGAAGGUUUUCGGAUCGUAAAGCUCUGUUGUAAGAGAAGAACGAGUGUGAGAGUGGAAAGUUCACACUGUGACGGUAUCUACCAG
rnacentral:rRNA from 1 species